rnacentral:rRNA from 1 species
GACGAACGCUGGCGGCGUGCCUAAUACAUGCAAGUUGAACGCUUGAUUUUCACCGAAGCUUGCUUCACCGAAAAUCAAGAGUAGCGAACGGGUGAGUAACGCGUGGGUAACCUACCUAUCAGCGGGGGAUAACUAUUGGAAACGAUAGCUAAUACCGCAUAACAAUGUUGGAUGCAUAUUCGACAUUUGAAAGUACCAAAUGGUACACUGAGAGAUGGACCCGCGUUGUAUUAGCUAGUUGGUAGUGUAAUGGACUACCAAGGCGAUGAUACAUAGCCGACCUGAGAGGGUGAUCGGCCGCAUUGGGACUGAGACACGGCCCAAACUCCUACGGGAGGCAGCAGUAGGGAAUCUUCGGCAAUGGACGAAAGUCUGACCGAGCAACGCCGCGUGAGUGAAGAAGGUUUUCGGAUCGUAAAACUCUGUUGUUAGAGAAGAACGUUGCAUAGAGUGGAAAAUUAUGCAAGUGACGGUAUCUAACCAGAAAGGGACGGCUAACUACGUG